rnacentral:rRNA from 1 species
CCUACGGGCGGCUGCAGUGGGGAAUAUUGGACAAUGGGCGAAAGCCUGAUCCAGCCAUGCCGCGUGUGUGAAGAAGGCCUUCGGGUUGUAAAGCACUUUCAGUGGGGAAGAAAGCCUUGGGGCUAAUACCCUCGAGGAAGGACAUCACCCACAGAAGAAGCACCGGCUAACUCCGUGCCAGCAGCCGCGGUAAUACGGAGGGUGCGAGCGUUAAUCGGAAUUACUGGGCGUAAAGCGCGCGUAGGCGGUCUGAUAAGCCGGUUGUGAAAGCCCCGGGCUCAACCUGGGAACGGCAUCCGGAACUGUCAGGCUAGAGUGCAGGAGAGGAAGGUAGAAUUCCCGGUGUAGCAGUGAAAUGCGUAGAGAUCGGGAGGAAUACCAGUGGCGAAGGCGGCCUUCUGGACUGACACUGACGCUGAGGUGCGAAAGCGUGGGUAGCAAACAGGAUUAGAUACCCCUGUAGUC